rnacentral:rRNA from 1 species
UAACCUUGCGGCCGUACUCCCCAGGCGGUCAACUUAAUGCGUUAGCUGCGCCACUAAGAGUUCAAGACUCCCAACGGCUAGUUGACAUCGUUUACGGCGUGGACUACCAGGGUAUCUAAUCCUGUUUGCUCCCCACGCUUUCGCACCUCAGUGUCAGUACCAGUCCAGGUAGUCGCCUUCGCCACUGGUGUUCCUUCCUAUAUCUACGCAUUUCACCGCUACACAGGAAAUUCCACUACCCUCUACCGUACUCUAGCUCAGCAGUUUUGGAUGCAGUUCCCAGGUUGAGCCCGGGGAUUUCACAUCCAACUUACUGAACCACCUACGCGCGCUUUACGCCCAGUAAUUCCGAUUAACGCUUGCACCCUUCGUAUUACCGCGGCUGCUGGCACGAAGUUAGCCGGUGCUUAUUCUGUCGGUAACGUCAAAGUAGCAACGUAUUAAGUUACUACCCUUCCUCCCAACUUAAAGUGCUUUACAAUCCGAAGACCUUCUUCACACACGCGGCAUGGCUGGAUCAGGCUUUCGCCCAUUGUCCAAUAUUCCCCA